rnacentral:tRNA from 1 species
GGUGAAUUGGCUCAGUGGGUAGAGCUGACGGCUCGCAACCGGGAGGUCCAGGUUCGAAUCUUAAAAGAGGCG